AUUAAAGAGUUGCAAAACUCCCAAACCAUUGUGAACUUACCUUCAACGUUGCUUCGGCGGGUUGGGCCCCGGGUCUCCCGGGCCCCCCGGCCCUCGCGGGCGCCCGCCGGAGGUAUCUAACUCUUGAAAUUGUAUGGCCUCUCUGAGUGAUUUACUUAAUAAGUCAAAACUUUCAACAACGGAUCUCUUGGUUCUGGCAUCGAUGAAGAACGCAGCGAAAUGCGAUAAGUAAUGUGAAUUGCAGAAUUCAGUGAAUCAUCGAAUCUUUGAACGCACAUUGCGCCCGCCAGUAUUCUGGCGGGCAUGCCUGUUCGAGCGUCAUUUCAACCAUCAAGCCCCCGGCUUGUGUUGGGGACCUGCGGCUGCCGCAGGCCCUGAAAACCAGUGGCGGGCUCGCUAGUCACUCCGAGCGUAGUAAUACAUCUCGCUCAGGGCGUGCUGCGGGUUCCGGCCGUUAAAAGCCUUAUUUACCCAAGGUUGACCUCGGAUCAGGUAGGAAGACCCGCUGAACUUAAGCAUAUCAAUAAGCGGAGGAAAAGAAACCAACAGGGAUUGCCCUAGUAACGGCGAGUGAAGCGGCAACAGCUCAAAUUUGAAAUCUGGCCUCGGCCCGAGUUGUAAUUUGUAGAGGAUGCUUUGGGCGCGGCUCCAACUGAGUUCCCUGGAACGGGACGCCACAGAGGGUGAGAGCCCCGUAUAGUUGGAUGCCUAGCCUAUGUAAAGCUCCUUCGACGAGUCGAGUAGUUUGGGAAUGCUGCUCAAAAUGGGAGGUAAAUUUCUUCUAAAGCUAAAUAUUGGCCAGAGACCGAUAGCGCACAAGUAGAGUGAUCGAAAGAUGAAAAGCACUUUGAAAAGAGGGUUAAAUAGCACGUGAAAUUGUUGAAAGGGAAGCGCUUGUGACCAGACUUGCGCCGGGCGGAUCAUCCGGU
rnacentral:rRNA from 1 species